rnacentral:rRNA from 1 species
AACGAACGCUGGCGGCAGGCCUAACACAUGCAAGUCGAACGCACCGCAAGGUGAGUGGCGCACGGGUGAGUAACACGUGGGAAUGUACCCUUUGGUUCGGAAUAACGUUUGGAAACGAACGCUAAUACCGGAUGAGCCCUACGGGGGAAAGAUUUAUCGCCAAAGGAGCAGCCCGCGUCUGAUUAGGUAGUUGGUGGGGUAAAGGCCUACCAAGCCGACGAUCAGUAGCUGGUCUGAGAGGAUGAUCAGCCACACUGGGACUGAGACACGGCCCAGACUCCUACGGGAGGCAGCAGUGGGGAAUAUUGGACAAUGGGCGCAAGCCUGAUCCGGCCAUGCCGCGUGAGUGAUGAAGGCCUUCGGGUUGUAGAGCUCUUUCGCACACGACGAUGAUGACGGUAGUGUGAGAAGAAGCCCCGGCUAACUUCGUGCCAGCCGCCGCAGUAA